GGAGAGAUGUCCGAGAUGGCCGAAGGAGCACGACUGGAAAUCGUGUGUGUACCCAAAAAGGUGCACCGGGGGUUCGAAUCCCCCUCUCUCCGCCA
rnacentral:tRNA from 1 species